AAAAGAAACUAAAUAGGAUUUCCAUAGUAACUGCGAGUGAACUGGAAUUAGCCCAUCACGAAAUCUAUAUUAUAAUAAUAAUAUCGAAAUGUCGUGUAUAGGUUUUAUUAUUAUUAAUAAAUUAUUAUUAAAUAAUUGUAUUUAAAUAUACAGCCACAGAAGGUGCCAGCCCUGUUAUUUAAUAAUAUUUAUUAAAUUUAUAAAACUUUAGAGUCGUGUUGCUUGGAAGUGCAGCACAAAGUUGGUGAUAAACAUCAUCUAAGGCUAAAUAUUCCUAUGAAUCCGAUAGCGAACAAGUACUGUGAAGGAAAAUUGCAAAGUACUCCGGAGAGAGAGUUAAAGAGGACGUGAAACCGAUACGAUGGAAGCAUACAGAGCCAGUUGCACUAUUAUUAAUAUUUUUUUAUUAAUAAUUUUAAGCAUGGGUAUAUUGAUUAUUAAUUAGUUAUUUAUUAAAGAGUGAUAAAAUUUUUUAAAUUUUGUUAACUUUAAUAAAAUAAUUAUAUUUAUAAUUAAUAUUAUAUAUUAUUAAUGUAUUAAUAAUAUUUUAAUUAUUAAUAUAAUAUAAGACACAUGUGUUAAAUAUUAUUUAUUAAUAAUUAUUAUAUUAUUAUAAAUUAAUAAACCUAUGUAAUCCUGGUAUGCUGUAUGUCCCGUCUUGAAACACGGACCAAGGAGUGUAUUGCUAUGGCAAGUCAUUGAUAUUAUUAAUAUCAAAGGCAUAAUGAAAAUAA
rnacentral:rRNA from 1 species